GGGUCAGUAGGUUGGUCGUGCCACCGGUACGUACUGGUCUCACUGAUUCCUCCUUCCUGAAGAACCGUAGUGCCAUUAAUUUGGUGUUGCCGGGAAACAGGACUGUUACUUUGAAAAAAUUAGAGUGUUUAAAGCAAGCUAACGCUUGAAUACAUUAGCAUGGAAUAAUGAAAUAGGACGAUCGAUCCUAUUUUGUUGGUUUCUAGGAUUGACGUA
rnacentral:rRNA from 1 species